rnacentral:rRNA from 1 species
UACGAAGGUCCCAAGCGUUAUCCGGAUUUAUUGGGUUUAAAGGGUGCGUAGGCGGGCUAUUAAGUCAGUGGUGAAAGCCUCAAGCUUAACUUGAGAAUUGCCAUUGAUACUGAUGACCUUGAGUACAUUUGAAGUGGGCGGAAUGUGUCAUGUAGCGGUGAAAUGCUUAGGUAUGACACAGAACACCGAUUGCGUAGGCAGCUCACUAAACUGUAACUGACGCUGAGGCACGAAAGCGUGGGGAGCAAACAGG